rnacentral:lncRNA from 1 species
GGAAGUGGGCGGGCGGACAGAAGAUCGAGUCCCGCUUGCCCCAGGGCUGGCGGGACGAGAGGAGGGGCGCUUCGGAGUUGGAGGGGGCCACUGACUUUAGAUUAGAUUCCUACCAGAUAGCGGACUAAGCAACUGGGACGCGCUUUGGUCUCAAAGUCCCAGUUUCCCCAACUACCCGACGUCUGGGAGGAGCGAUCCCGCUUUGGAAAUUUCGGGAGACCGUAUCUCCUUCGCUUUCCACCUCUUUCCAGGUUCGGGGAGAUAAUAAUUCGGCACGUCUGGUCAAAGGAAUGGGGGUGAAGAGUGUUACUCCCUCCCUAGGGGCUGCACACCGCUGCAGCGGUGGCUAAGUCACGUGAGGUCCGGAUCCCUGGGCUGCUGGGGAAGAAUGUCCUCUGCUCUCUGCGCGCCGGGGAAAUGAAGCGCAGCCGGGCCAGGAUCCUGGCUGGCUGUCCCGCGCCGGCGGAGGCGGGCGGGGAGCUGGAGAGGAGGGCCAAGGGACGCCGAGGGGUGGGCCUCGGCGCACGGGCUCCGCAAUAGGAUUGGCUUUGGAAAGAAACUGUGUCAGCAAAGGAGGGAGGAGGACGGAGGGAGGGAGACAUGAAAUCGGAAAUUUUGCAAAAGAAAAAAAAAGUCUCUCCUCCCCAAUCUACCAGCCAAAAAGAAUAAAACAAAACCUUAUCCUUGCUAAGGACGUUGGACUCGAAGUUCAACCUUGGAGCUUGGUACAACAUCCUUGACAGGUGCUUUAUCCAAUUCCUCCAAGGACAGAAAACAGUCCAUUUCAUUUUGUUUGUGUGCGCGCGCAUCUAGUCAGGAGAAAAUUCUUUAUAGAAUCAAAUUGUCUUCAGCAGUCCUCAUUCUGCCCCCUGAAGUGCAAUAACCACAACAAAAGUAACACACACAAAAAAAAAUAAAUUUGUAGCUUAAAGAUUUGCAAAAGGCUUUCCAACUCAUCUCAUUUAUCCACGAAAUCAUCCUGAGAGAAAGGGUAGGCACUACCUACCUCCAGCAAAAUUAAUUCCUCUUCCACAAUUCUAGACCUGACCUGCGGAAGUAAAAUAGGCUGAAGAAUUAUGAAUUUCUGCCCACAAUUCAGG